AUGAGUAUAGAGCAGGAGUGAAGGCAGGAGGCCAGGGAAGGGAUGCUCUCAGAGGGGUGUGCUGAUGGAGACGCUAGAUUCCAAAUUAGGGUGUGAUACGGGGCCAACCGAGAAGAGAAACUACGGUGUCAAAUCCCACGCCCCCCACCCCAAAGGCAUGCAAGGGUCAGAAAGCAAGUUGCCCGCCCUCGCUCACUUGGCCCCGCACGUUGAAGCCGUAGCCGGACUCGGACUUGACGAUGCGCACGACCCGCGGGCCGCCGCCUCCCCCGCCGCCGUUCCCGGCGCAGUGGAGCCCAGACCCCCCGCCGCCGCCGCCACCUCCGUUCCUGUGAGGGGCUGAGGGAUGAAUCCCUUCCCCGUCCUCGUCCGCCAUCUUGCGAGCAGGCGAGCCGUACCCCCGCCCCCUACGCCUCCAAGGCCUCCCGGCGCGUGCUCGCCCUGCCUGGCAGCCGGACGACCCCCGACGCGCGCGCCCGAUCCGCCGGCCGCGGGACCGACUCGGCCACCGAGCUGCUGGCGCGGGGUGAAGAGGAGGCA
rnacentral:lncRNA from 1 species